CACUGGAGGAACACAGGCUUUUGUUCCUACAACAGAGCCCUUUCUCCUGCUCACGGCUGCUUCCACGCUGGCUCAGAUCCCAAAGCAGCGUUUCUGGCCCAUGACUCACAAAGUAAAUCGCCUAUAAGUGAAAACCUCUUAUCAUAACUUUGGCAGGAAAAAGAAGACGCUGACUGGCAAAGAUCUUGGUGAAGACAGGACUGUGUGCAUUUGCUAAAAGGACAGUGGUAUCAAGAGAUGGAGGACUGUGUCUUCUGUCACCUUGAACUUUUAAGAACAAGGACAGGAUUUCUCUGUGUAAUGGCUCGGGCUGUCUUGGAACACACUCUGUAGACCACACGUGCCUCAAACUCAGAGAUCUACCUGCUUCUGCCUUCCAAGUGCUGGGAUUAAAGUCAUGUACCACACCACAUCUGGCUUUCUUUUCUUUUCUUUUUUACUGUCU
rnacentral:lncRNA from 1 species